CCUACGGGAGGCAGCAGUGGGGAAUUUUGCGCAAUGCUCGUAAGAGUGACGCAGCGACGCCGCGUGAAUGACGAAGGCCUUCGGGUCGUAAAGCUCUUUCGACAGGGAAGAAAAUGCCUAUAAGUAACUGUGUAUGUAUUGACGGUACCUGUAUAAGCAGCCCCGGCUAACUCCGUGCCAGCAGCCGCGGUAAUACGGAGGGGGCGAGCGUUGUCCGGAGUGACUGGGCGUAAAGAGCACGUAGGCGGUGUUGUAAGUCAUUAGUCAAAGACUAGAGCUCAACUUUAGUAAGGCUAGUGAUACUAUAAUACUAGAGUGUCAGAGAGGAAUGCAGAAUUCCUGGUGUAGCGGUGAAAUGCGUAGAUAUCAGGAGGAAUACCGUUGGCGAAGGCGGCAAUCUGGCUGGAAACUGACGCUGAGGUGCGAAAGCGUGGGUAGCAAACAGGAUUAGAUACCCCGGUAGUC
rnacentral:rRNA from 1 species